UUUGUGGGUGUGUUCCCUAUAUAACCCUCACGAGACCUACUCGUCCUCCCGAGCUAUCGGGAGGUUUAAAGGGCUUGUUGCAUACGCUAAAUGCAACCGUGAUUCCUACGAAAGUGAGUUAGGAUUGUUAUUGUUGUAAAUUAUUUUUCCACAUAAAGUUAAAGGUACAAUAAUGUAUGGCUUGGUAAUAAUUUCAUAAAAGUGGUAGAACUAGGUAACUAACAAGUUUUGAUGGUCGUGAGAAGCAUGCUUCUACACGAGGGUUAAAAUUUGUAGGUGCGCUAUGUUCGUGAGACGACCGCUUGAUUGAAAAGAUGAAGAGCACACGAGUCAACGAGGGAUGUCACAAACCAUUUGGUCUUUUGUCAUGGUCAAGUUCAAAUUAAUAAGCAUAUCGGGUAUUUAGUGGGUGGUUAUUUGAGAAUAAUUCGCCUAAGGAACUAGCAAUGUAUGCAUAUCACAUAUCAUACCCUUAUACGUGAGGAUUGAGCCAUUCUACAUCAUAGAUUCACAUUUACAUGUUUCAUUGUUGAGUGGGCCAUUAGUCGCGUAUUGUAGAACUUGCAACUUUUGAUACAUUCGAGACUAUAGACCGAAUACAAGCACGAGAAUGAUUAAGGCAUUAGGUAAACCUUUUUUCUUUUACACCAUUUGCUAACCUUUACCCAAAUAAAUCCCCUAGUCGCCCACUUCGAGCCUAAACCUUUCAUUUGACUACCCUAUAGCCCAUAACCAUAGACCAUUUUCUUUUAAACCCAUGUGAUGGAAAUUCGAUUUUAGGAUUAUUUGUUGUGGUUUAUAUAAAAAUAAAAAAAAAAAAAAAAAGAGAAAAAAUUAGAAAAUAUUGCGAAAAAGAAUGAAAAAGCAGUGAGAAAAACACAAAAAGAUGUGCUAGUAGUUGUUGAAUAAAAGGCGAAAGUUUUUGCCCAUGUUGGAUGUUUAUAGUUUACUUUUGUUUAGGAUAGUCGUUGGUAAUAAAAAUCGAGUUUUCAUCACCAUAGCCACUUAAAAAUAUCCUAUUCCUACCCUUCGCCUAGCCCCGUUACAACCCUUCAAAGACCUUUUGACUUGUGCUUAGUAUUUGUGUUCAAUAGUGGAGAAUGAUUGAGUUGCAAGCCUAUGCGGGUACGUGUUCUAUUUGGUUUUGAGCGAUUAACUGUUGAAAAGCUAACACAUUACAUAUGUUAGCAUACUUUAAGCCGAGUGGAGAGCACAUUGUGAGGGAUAUGCACGAUUUGUUAGUUUUACGGGCGGGCUAAUCUUGGGUAACCAUUUGUGUAUCUAAAGCACGUCACCGUUAAAUACUUUGAAUUUUGUGAAGAGUUUGAACUUUUGUAUGACAUUAGACCUUAACCUUUGUCUCGGGAAUGGGAUGUAUAUUCUUUGUUUGACCCACGUGAAAGUGAAAAACAGAUUUGCUUGAGGGCAAGCAAAAGACAAGUGUGGGGAUGUGAUACGUGGGUGAAAACCGGUGCUUGUAAUUGUUUAACUUAACGUUUUUACGUGAAUUUUAGUUUCGAAUAGCCUACUUUUAAUCAAGAAUGUGUUUUGCAGGUUUGAUGAAGUUUAAGGAGCUUUUCGGGAGCUUUACGGGUCAUCGGAUUGAAAAAACGGAACAUCGGAACGCAUUACGGAUCAAACGGGAGCGAAACAAGCGGAAACUGGAAAUCAGGUUUUGAGAACCCGUCGCCGACGGGUACCAGGCCGUCGGCGACGCCCCUUGGAUAAGCCCGUAGGCACACUUUUCUCCGUCGGCAGACAUUUAGGCCGUCGGCCAAACAAGGGAUUUUGGGGACCCGUCGGCGACGGGGUGGGACCCGUCGGCGACGGGCUUUGGUUUCGUGAAACGCGAAUCUUGGGCAAUUGGGGGUUUAUUCCGAUUUUGAUUGGCCAAGACUCAUUCAUUACGGGAGUUACAACAUUCUUGGAGUUUGAAAAACAUUCUUGGAGCCAAUUAUCACUAUCUUUUCAUCACCAAUUCAUCCCCAAUCCAUAAUCCAUCCGCUGAAGAACUCGAAUCAACAUCCGGAAUCAAGAACAAAGGCAUCAUCAUCUUCUUGAUUUCAAACCCUAGUUCAUCAUCAUCACAACCAUUCUAUCACCUUCAAUCCAUCCAUCACCACCAACCGUUUCCAAACCCUAAUCAUUCCACCAUCCAUCCUCAAGCUCCAAGAUGAUCCACUUGAAGUCUUGUGCAUCCGUUGAUUGUACCGUUUACACCAUGAGCGGCUAAUUUCUUGGAGGUUUCACCCCGGUGUAGACUUUUGUAAGAUUUAGGGUUUACUAUGUUUUGUUGAUUGUUUUGUGACAACUUGAAUUGCGUGUGAAUCUUAGACAAUUGUCCUACGUUGGUAUUGAAUUUGCAAAUUGUCGAGUGAAUGAUUAAAUUUGACUUUGU
rnacentral:lncRNA from 1 species